AUACGGAGGAUGCGAGCGUUAUCCGGAUUUAUUGGGUUUAAAGGGUGCGUAGGCGGACGAUUAAGUCAGCUGUGAAAUGCCCGCGCUUAACGCGGGAAGUGCAGCUGAUACUGGUUGUCUGGAGUGCCGUUGCCGUGGGGGGAAUGUGUAGUGUAGCGGUGAAAUGCAUAUAUAUUACACAGAACGCCGUUUGUGAAGACACCUCGCAAAGCAGUAACAGACGCGAAGCCACGAAGGCGUGGGGAUUGAACAGGAUUAAAUACCCUUAUAAUCCAGGCAGUAAACGAUGAAGACUAACCGUCAGCUAUAGACCGCCGGUGGCCGAGCGAAAGCGAUAAGUCAUCCACCUGGGGAGUACGACCGCAAGGUUGAAACUGAAAUGAAUUGACGGGG
rnacentral:rRNA from 1 species